NNNNNNGAGAGUUUGAUCCUGGCUCAGGAUGAACGCUGGCGGCGUGCCUAACACAUGCAAGUCGAGCGAUCUCUUCGGAGAGAGCGGCGGACGGGUGAGUAACGCGUGGGUAACCUGCCCUGUACACACGGAUAACUAACCGAAAGGUAUACUAAUACGGGAUAACAUAUGAAAGUCGCAUGGCUUUUGAUAUCAAAGCUCCGGCGGUACAGGAUGGACCCGCGUGAUUAGCUAGUUGGUAAGGUAAUGGCUUACCAAGGCAACGAUCAGUAGCCGACCUGAGAGGGUGAUCGGCCACACUGGAACUGAGACACGGUCCAGACUCCUACGGGAGGCAGCAGUGGGGAAUAUUGCACAAUGGGCGAAAGCCUGAUGCAGCAACGCCGCGUGAGCGAUGAAGGCCUUCGGGUCGUAAAGCUCUGUCCUCAAGGAAGAUAAUGACGGUACUUGAGGAGGAAGCCCCGGCUAACUACGUGCCAGCAGCCGCGGUAAUACGUAGGGGGCUAGCGUUAUCCGGAAUUACUGGGCGUAAAGGGUGCGUAGGUGGUUUUUUAAGUCAGAAGUGAAAGGCUACGGCUCAACCGUAGUAAGCUUUUCAAACUAGAGAACUUGAGUGCAGGAGAGGAGAGUAGAAUUCCUAGUGUAGCGGUGAAAUGCGUAGAUAUUAGGAGGAAUACCAGUAGCGAAGGCGGCUCUCUGGACUGUAACUGACACUGAGGCACGAAAGCGUGGGGAGCAAACAGGAUUAGAUACCCUGGUAGUCCACGCCGUAAACGAUGAGUACUAGGUGUCGGGGUUACCCCCCUCGGUGCCGCAGCUAACGCAUUAAGUACUCCGCCUGGGAAGUACGAUCGCAAGAUUAAAACUCAAAGGAAUUGACGGGGACCCGCACAAGUAGCGGAGCAUGUGGUUUAAUUCGAAGCAACGCGAAGAACCUUACCUAAGCUUGACAUCCCACUGACCUCUCCCUAAUCGGAGAUUUCCUUCGGGGACAGUGGUGACAGGUGGUGCAUGGUUGUCGUCAGCUCGUGUCGUGAGAUGUUGGGUUAAGUCCCGCAACGAGCGCAACCCUUGCCUUUAGUUGCCAGCAUUAAGUUGGGCACUCUAGAGGGACUGCCGAGGAUAACUCGGAGGAAGGUGGGGAUGACGUCAAAUCAUCAUGCCCCUUAUGCUUAGGGCUACACACGUGCUACAAUGGGUGGUACAGAGGGUUGCCAAGCCGCGAGGUGGAGCUAAUCCCUUAAAGCCAUUCUCAGUUCGGAUUGUAGGCUGAAACUCGCCUACAUGAAGCUGGAGUUACUAGUAAUCGCAGAUCAGAAUGCUGCGGUGAAUGCGUUCCCGGGUCUUGUACACACCGCCCGUCACACCAUGGAAGUUGGGGGCGCCCGAAGCCGGUUAGCUAACCUUUUAGGAAGCGGCCGUCGAAGGUGAAACCAAUGACUGGGGUGAAGUCGUAACAAGGUAGCCGUAUCGGAAGGUGCGGCUGGAUCACCUCCUU
rnacentral:rRNA from 1 species